GAUGAACGCUGGCGGCGUGCCUAAUACAUGCAAGUCGAGCGAACAGAUAAGGAGCUUGCUCCUUUGACGUUAGCGGCGGACGGGUGAGUAACACGUGGGUAACCUACCUAUAAGACUGGGAUAACUUCGGGAAACCGGAGCUAAUACCGGAUAAUAUUUCGAACCGCAUGGUUCGAUAGUGAAAGAUGGUUUUGCUAUCACUUAUAGAUGGACCCGCGCCGUAUUAGCUAGUUGGUAAGGUAACGGCUUACCAAGGCGACGAUACGUAGCCGACGUGAGAGGCGGAUCGGCCACACGAGAACGGAGACACGGACCAGACGCCUACGGGAGGCAGCAGUAGGGAAUCUUCCGCAAUGGGCGAAAGCCUGACGGAGCAACGCCACGUGAGUGAUGAAGGUCUUCGGAUCGUAAAACUCUCUUAUUAGGGAAGAACAUACGUGUAAGUAACUGUGCACGUCUUGACGGUACCUAAUCAGAAAGCCACGGCUAACUACGUG
rnacentral:rRNA from 1 species